rnacentral:rRNA from 1 species
UACGUAGGCAGCAAGCGUUGUUCGGAGUUACUGGGCGUGAAGGGUGUGUAGGCGGUCCCCUAAGUUUGGUGUGAAAUCUCCCGGCUCAACUGGGAGGGUGCGCCGAAAACUGGGGGGCUAGAGUACUGGAUGGGAGAGUGGAAUUCCUGGUGUAGCGGUGAAAUGCGUAGAUAUCAGGAGGAACACCUGUGGUGUAGACGGCUCUCUGGACAGUAACUGACGCUGAGACACGAAAGCGUGGGUAG